rnacentral:lncRNA from 1 species
ACUAAACUCGACGCGGAAUAGGUAUAAUUACAUAAAAAAUAUACUAAAAUAGGUAUAAAUUAUAUAAAACACCCACUAAAUAAGAAGUGGGUUAGGUGCACUAACAUUUAGGUUAAUCUUAAAGCUCUCCGCUAAUAGGUGCUCGGGUUCAAACAAGGGGUUGUUGAUUAUCCGUAAGAUAAUUCAUUUUAAUGUUGUGAUCAUUUACAUGUUCCACAUACAUAAAAAUUGUCCAGAAGACUCAAUAUAUUACAUAUAUACGAGUUUAAUCUCGAUAUAUAUAGUGAAUCUUUAUACUAUCAUGUCACAUAAAAAUAACGUAUUAAGUACUCAUUCAUUUUAAAAAAAGAAUGUAACUUGAGAAAUCGAUUAAUACCUGCUACAACUGGUAAAAGUUGAAAGCUGAACUUCCAUAUGAUUCUGGUAACUGUGAGCUUCAAGAAUUGGUGUUGAUUUCAAUGCAAACCUUGUCAAAUUAGCAGUCUUUUUGCUUCUUUUUUACCUUAGAUUCAUUGUUUGUUCGACCUUAAGUCCAUAACAAAGCAUCAACUACUGAGGCGAUUUCAGGAUUUAAAGUUUGGAGUUUUGAAUUUUAGGAAGGAAUAACGACCUCAAGAUUAUCUAUAGUAACCACCAAACUAACUAACACGUAUUGAUAUUCAAUAUAUUUAAAAAGCAACGAAUCAUUUAAUAGUACAUAAAUAUACUAAAUAUUAUCAUUGCAACUACACUCGAUGACUUGUUAUUUCUGAAAACGAUCAAUGAUCGGAUUAUUAGAUACACUUUCAAAUAAUUCAUCUUCUUUAUAACAAAAUUAAACAAUUUAUUUAAAACGUCGUCACCAAUUAUACUUCGCAAUCCGUUUUUAACAAACUUCAGAGAGGAAAAGUCAUUACCCUUAUUUCUGUCUAUUUUUCAUUAUAUUGGCAACUCAUAUCUUUGGUGGACAGAGUUAUCUGAUGUCGAUUGCUGGUGGGAGGUGGGAGGUAUCUCGUGGAUUUAGUUGAGGUACGCAAAAGCUGACCCAGAGUUUUCUGAUGUCGAUUGCUGGUGGGAGGUAUCUCGUGGAUUUAGUUGAGAUACGGAAAAGCUGACCCAAACACCACGAUUAUGAAAAAAGAAAAAAUUACAUUAAAAAAUGAGAGUUAUACCAAACUCAUGAGUCCUGAUUAAAACUGACUAUUUUUUCCUUUUCUAUACAAAUUAUAUACUUCUAAGAUCUUGUACCCUAACUACCUCUUAAUUAUUUAUCCUUUAUCAAGAAAAAGUUCUUUUAAAAUUACAACGAUUUUCCUACUACUUGUGCUAUUUUAAAAGAAAAAUCUUUUAAUUAAAUUGAGGUUAUAAGGGAUUCGAAGGAAAAAUGGGGGAGGAGAUUAGAAGACGGGAAAUAAAACCUCACCAAUAAGGUGAACGUUCAGUUCGUCAACCAACUAAGCUACCGAGAAUUUUCCUAACGUGACUAGAAUCGUAAUUCCUAAUUUGUCCACUUUUUUCUUGAGAAAACAAUCAAAGAGUACAAUACUAUUGUCGCAAAUCAUUAGUAGGUAUAGCACUAUUUACACCUAUAUUUCGAUUUCCAAUUAAUAUACAUAGAGAGAAAAUAUUUCUGCAACUCAAGUUAAUUGAAUCCAAAAAUCAAGAGAGCUAAUCAUGGUAAUUAUAUUAAGUGGUUGAGAUGUGUGACUUUUCACUUAAUUACUCACCUAAUAGCUAGGGUUUGUGAACAGGCUGGAGCUAGGAUAACCUUACGUCGAAAAACUACACGUAUAUAUUAGAUGAGUUUCUUUAAUCUAUAUAUAUAUAUAUAUACAGUUGAUCGAUAUUGAAUCUUGUUCACAGUACGUGUAUUUACUUUUUUAUAUUUUAAAUUUAUCUAAGCUGGUUAUAUUAUUCAAGGUCGAACAGACAAUGAGACAAAGGUUAAGAGCAAAAAAGGACUGCUCACUUGACAAGCAUAGCAUGGAAAUCACUCACCACAUAUAUAUAUAAUAAAUUCCAUCUUCAAUUCUUCUUAACUAUUUUUUUCUGCAAAAAGAAAAAAAACAAUCAAAGAAAAAUUAUUAGUCAAGAAGAAACUCAAUCAAUAUAUAGUACUAUUAUUAUACCUAUUCAAUUAAGCAAUAUGAUGAAGAAGAGAAGUAAGUAGUACCUUAGCUUGUUUCAAUUCAAAUAGUAUUUGAUCUUUGAAGAUAAGAUUGGAAGAAUAUUAUUGUAUAGUGUUUACAUUGGGC